CCAGUGUAGAACGCGCCCGACGGUGAGGGACGAAAGCUGGGGGAGCGAACCGGAUUAGAUACCCGGGUAGUCCCAGCCGUAAACGAUGCGGGCUAGGUGUUGGAGCGGCUACGGGCCGCUUCAGUGCCGCAGGGAAACCAUUAAGCCCGCCGCCUGGGGAGUACGGCCGCAAGGCUGAAACUUAAAGGAAUUGGCGGGGGAGCACCACAAGGGGUGAAGCUUGCGGUUUAAUUGGAGUCAACGCCGGGAAACUUACCGGGGGCGACAGCAGGAUGAAGGCCAGAUUGAAGGUCUUGCUGGACGAGCUGAGAGGAGGUGCAUGGCCGUCGCCAGUUCGUGCCGUGAGGUGUCCUGUUAAGUCAGGCAACGAUCGAGACCCACGCCCCCUGUUGCCACCGAGGAGGUUCUCCAAGGGGCACUCUGGGNAAACCGCCGCCGAUAAGGCGGAGGAAGGAGUGGGCCACGGCAGGUCAGUAUGCCCCGAAUCCCCCGGGCCACACGCGAGCUGCAAUGGCUGGGACAGAGGGUUCCAACCUCGAGAGGGGAAGGUAAUCCCUAAACCCAGCCGUAGUUGGGAUCGAGGGCUGAAACUCGCCCUCGUGAACAUGGAAUCCCUAGUAAUCGCGNGUCAUCAUCGCGCGGUGAAUACGUCCCUGCUCC
rnacentral:rRNA from 1 species